CUAGUAUCUCGGAGGGGGUAGGGGAAUUCCUAAUGUAGAGGUGAAAUUCGUAGAUAUUAGGAGGAACACCAGUGGCGAAGGCGCCUACCUGGACGAGUAUAGACGCUGAGACGCGAAAGCGUGGGGAGCAAACAGGAUUAGAUACCCUGGUAGUCCACGCCGUAAACGAUGAGUGCUAGCUGUUGGAGCUUCGGCUUCAGUGGCGCAGUUAACGCAUUAAGCACUCCGCCUGGGGAGUACGGUCGCAAGAUUAAAACUCAAAGGAAUUGACGGGGACCCGCACAAGCGGUGGAGCAUGUGGUUUAAUUCGAGGCAACGCGAAGAACCUUACCAGGACUUGACAUCCUUAUCGCGCGCACCAGAGAUGGAGCGUUUCAGUUUGGCUGGAUAAGUGACAGGUGCUGCACGGCUGUCGUCAGCUCGUGUCGUGAGAUGUUGGGUUAAGUCCCGCAACGAGCGCAACCCUCAUCCUUAGUUGCCAUCAGUUCGGCUGGGAACUCUAAGGAAACUGCCGGCGUUAAGCCGGAGGAAGGUGGGGACGACGUCAAGUCAUCAUGGCCCUUAUGUCCUGGGCUACACACGUGCUACAAUGGCAGUGACAAUGGGAUAAUCCAUAAAAGCUGUCUCAGUUCGGAUUGUGGGCUGCAACUC
rnacentral:rRNA from 1 species